GGUAAUGCGAAUCACAAACCAUACAGGCAUAUAUUGAUAGUUACCACAGUUACAUUCAGAUUCACACAGAUGCAUCAAAGAGUUUAGUUAGUAAAAUAGGAGUUGCAUUUAUUGAACCAGAGUUUCAUAUCCAAGUAGGGAAAAGGGUCAGUGAUGAUUUAUCAGUUUACAGGAGAAAUGCUCUCAAUACUGUGAGCAGUGCAGUGGAUAGAGGAGGCCAGACCAUUGAGAGCAAUCAUCUACUCAGACUCAAAUUGCAAAGAAGGCUACAAAAAAUAACAACAUUGAUUUGACAGUUAUAGCUUCAGCAAAACAGAAAUGAAGAGCAUUAUGAAACAGAGACUGAGGGAAAGAGAAGCAAUGGGAGGAAGAGAGGAAAGGACGGUGGUUUUACAGAGUUCAGAGGAAAGUGGGAGAAAUGAAGGAGAGAUGAGACAAUCAGAUCAAGACUUAGAUUAGACACACUGGACUAAACAGCACACUAUUUAAAACAG